GCGGCCUCCUGGACUGACACUGAACACUGAGGUGCGAAAGCGUGGGUAGCAAACAGGCAUUAAAUACCCUGGUAGUCCACGCCGUAAACGAUGUCGACUAGCCGUUGGGUCCCUUGAGGACUUUGUGGCGCAGUUAACGCGAUAAGUCGACCGCCUGGGGAGUACGGCCGCAAGGUUAAAACUCAAAUGAAUUGACGGGGGCCCGCACAAGCGGUGGAGCAUGUGGUUUAAUUCUAUGCAACGCGAAGAACCUUACCUACCCUUGACAUCGUGCGAACUUGGUAGAGAUACCUUGGUGCCUUCGGGAGCGCACAGACAGGUGCUGCAUGGCUGUCGUCAGCUCGUGUUGUGAAAUGUUGGGUUAAGUCCCGUAACGAGCGCAACCCUUGUCCCUAUUUGCCAGCGAUUCGGUCGGGAACUCUAGGGAGACUGCCGGUGACAAACCGGAGGAAGGUGGGGACGACGUCAAGUCAUCAUGGCCCUUACGGGUAGGGCUACACACGUGCUACAAUGGCCGGUACAAAGGGUUUGCGAAGCCGCGAGGUGGAGCCAAUCCCGAAAAGCCGGUCUCAGUCCCGGAUCGGAGUCUGCAACUUCGACUCCGUGAAGUCGGAAUCGCUAGUAAUCGUGAAUCCAAAA
rnacentral:rRNA from 1 species